UGGGGGAUGCGUAGUGCUGAGUUGUCUGGGAACCCUGUUUUGCUGAGAUGUACACUUCUGAGGAGACCCAGGCUUUGAAGAGGACCCUACUUGCGUCUCUGGAACCAGGCAGUGAGACGAACAUGUCAGGUGGCCUGCAUUGCUCCAGGGAACAGCUAACGCGGCCUGUGGCCUUACUUCCUCAAGCCUUAAUUCCUCUGUGGGCUGCCGAGCUUAGUGUGUUUUGUCUGUUCUUCACUGGACUGUACCCACUCUCUGAGAGCUGCCCAGACAUGCGCUAUCCCGGAGAAGGCAGCCACCCACCGAGGCUUCCCAGGUCGUGAGAAAGGCGCUGGGGGACACACCUCACACCCGCGGCGGCUUGUUACGGCAUGUCCACCAGGGGGCAGCAAAGAGCGGAGGCCUACACCGGACUUGGCGGCAGGAAUGUGGCGUUUUCUGGCUAGGGCGAGGACAGGAAGCUGCUGCAGUCACUGUGUACUGGGGAGAUCCUGGCAAUGGACAAUGCACAUGGUGUUUUAAUGUCAUGGUCAAGUCACAUUGAUUUCAUGGAACGAGGAAGAGUCCUGGUACUUUGAGCGUCCACGGAGAAAACUAGGAGCUGAUCAAAGGCAGACAGCACAAAGCCAUAAGAAAUACAGAAUCCAGGCCGGUGAGAUGGCUCAGUG